UCAGGGAUCUGGGGGAGCUCAAAGCUGCUCCUGGAUGCUCAGGGUGCUUUUAUUUACGAGCCACAAAUUGUUUUAAAAGUACUUAACAACUCAUCAGUAUCAAAGUGUGUUUUGAUCAGAUGCAAUAAGAUUUUUGCACAUCUAAUCUCAUACCUACAUUUGAGUAUCCUAAUUGCUUCUAGUUGUUAAAGUGCAGAUAAGCAAGAGAUGCUGAAGAAUAUUUGAAACAACAAGGAAUUUCUGUUGUCUUUGUUCCCAGAAGCAGCUCUGCCAUUCCAGGAGCAUUCCCUUUUUGUGGAGAAAUUGGGCACACAUAGCUCUGACUUGCACUAGGACCUGACAUAGAAAGCAGGGCUCUGGAGUGGCUCCGGCACACAAAGCGUCAUUAGGAUUAAGAUUUGUGUCUGAACUCUGCUGAGUUCUUCCACUUCAUUAUACCAGCUGUUCUUCACCUGCCAGCAGGGUCUCACACCCACAUCUCUUCCCCAUGCCUGCCAUCCCUGGAUCCUCCUUGCUCUCAGCACUUUGGAGUUCAAAUGCAGUAAAACUAUGGGUGCUAUUCUUGUAUUAUUAGUGGUGUUUGUAUUCAAUUUGAAGCUGUGAGUUCAGAUCUGGCACAGUGCAGCCUGGUGAACAAUAGCUAAUGCAUCAAAAAGCAGACAUAACAAAACACAGCAAAAGCAGCAAAGCUUGGUUCAAAAUUCCUGCGUAUUUUCAUUUCCCAUUUAUUUGGCAUCUUGCCUUGUCAGACACAGUACAAUCUUCUCCGAUUGUUUCUGGUUAGUGCAACGUAUCUCUGUCUUAAAUCCUCUCCCUGAAUUCAAGUUACACUGCCUGCAGAACGCAUGCAAGGGAGAGCUCAUCAAUUGUGCACUCUCUUGGGGUGGUGACCUCUGUCAACAAGCUGUUUAUGGCUCCCAGGAUGGAGCCAAAUGGAUACCAGUUCUUCCUCUGCUGCAAGGAGCUGUUGACAUGAUUACAGCUGAUUAAAAAAAAAAAAAAAACUUUCCAUCUUAUAUGAGUGUAAAAGUGAAUCAUUGCUGUAUAUAGGGACCCUUCAGGUCAACAUCUUUGAAGGCAGUCCUGGGGCCAGGGCAGCCACCUCCUGGGAACGUGCUUGAAGUAUACACCCCAGCCAGAGCUGCUGAGGGAUAUUCUGCAGUAGAGGCAGAUGGGCUACAGCAUGAUUUCUGUAUUUUAACAUAAAAUGCAAUAGAAAGAAUAUAUGCAGCAUUUUUUUCACGAAGUAAGGAGGGGAAUGGACCAAGCAGGGAAAGGCUGGGGAGCUUAUCCUUCUGCUUUUCUGAGGAGGAUGUCUUUCCCAAGACAGCAGAGG